UUUAUUUCAAAAUUAGGCAAUACCCAAAUGUCGCAAUUAUUCCAUAUUUGCGUCAAUUAGAUUAAAAUGGGAGCAAUUACCAGAAAAAAAAACAAAACUAUAAAUUACUGAUAAAAAUUUAAACACAUUAAGAAAAUUUCCAAAAUUUUUACAGAAAACAAAGAUAGUCGCUCGUCAUAGUGGAUAAUUUCACCAAAAUAUCGCAAUAGGUUAUGGCUAGUUCAUGGAAUAUUGUUAGAUCCGGAAAACAAAGUCAUAAAUUAGUAAAUUGAUAACAAAAGCUGGUCAAAAUUGGAUAUAAAAGCUGACCGAGAAAACAAGUCGCCAAUAACAAUUCAGACUUGUUACUUCUGAAUGCAUAGUCGCUAAUUUCAAGUGAAUAAAUUCACUGUACGUGACGAUUCGUGAAGUUUUACUUCUGAGUGUUAAGGCUUUGUAAAUUGAAGUUACCAGUUCCCUUUUGAAAAAUGAGCUAUUCCGUGACGAACUUCUCGGCACAUUCUCUGAAAUCCGGAGAAUCAGAGAACUUCGUUUUGAACCAAGCCACAGAUGACGUCGCAGAGGACAAGGAGAUGGAAGUUGAGGUCUUUAGUCCAGUCAAAUCUGGCGUGAAGCGCUCGGCUCCCCCAUCGUGCAGCCCCCAGAGCCUCGAGACUCGAAACCAGUUUUCUAGAGGAAAGUGCGAAAGAAGAAGAAGAAGAAGCGGUCCUCUUCGCCCAAGAAGAGCGCCCCCCCGAAACUGUGACGGUGCUGCACACAUCCUUGACGUUGCAACCGUCAAAAACGUCGUGCACCAGGUUCGGCUGACGGUAAUAAACGACCUCUCUUCGGAUCAUAACCCCGUCCUGAUGCAAAUCGGGAACGAGGCAAACGAUCCGCAGAUCUUCCGAAUCUGGUAGGCAUCAAAUGUCAUUGCCACAUUUAUCUGUCGCAGCUCUUUUCAGAUUCCAUCAAAUGGAUCACUUCGGGGGAAUCCCCGGAGCGCCCUCUUCUUUUCUUCUGGCGCCAUGCAAACCGGCAUGGCUGCCCAGCGUGCAUUCAGGGAUGAAGGACCAAUGGUUCCGAUCCCUAAGGUGACGCGAUGGGUUUUAGUGGGUAUUGUCGGCUUGCACAUUUACCGACCAAGUCCCACAUAACCAGACUGGUAUGCGUAAAUGCAUUUCCCCUCUCCAAAAAAAAGGAGAAUUUGCAGUGCGGUAUAGAGUGAGUACCGAUACCACUUAUCCUAAGCCGAGGCAGAUAGACAGAUGAUCCGAAUUGUCGGGACCGAGGACUUUCCCUGCAUUAUUAUGGAAAGUGUUAAACUGCCAGCCAUUUUAACAAACGAUAUUUUCGAAGUUAUAUCCUCUUCGGAAAAUAAAAUUACAGCAAAAUAUUUAUUAUGUGUUAGUGCUAAUAAAACUUAUAGUGGACCUGUCACAUCUAACUUUUUGACUCACGUCAGACGAAAGCAUCCAGAACGAAUGUCCACCAUUGAUGAAGUUACAAGAAAAUGUUCAAAACGCACAGCAUCGUAUUACGACGACGUAGUAGAAGAUAAAAAAAUGAAAAUGUCAUCAAAACCACCUUCAAAUCCGUUUACAAUCGCCGCAUCCGGGGGACAUAAAGAAAACCAGUGGCAGCUCGCCAGGGGAAGUAGGUGAAGUGCCCAUUCAAAAAAAUAUUUGGAACUUUAAAAAUACAUUAAAGG